UAAGAAGCAAACUGACAAUCAGAUCGAGUAAGCGCGUGCCCUGGUUUGAAAGGUCAGCUUCUCUUAUUCCUGACUCUGGCUGCCAUCGUUGGCUGAUGAAAGAGUUCCUUUUAUUUGGUGAGUUCAUCCAUCAAGAUUGUCUUCGAAGCUUUGUCUUUGAAGUUUUCACCUAUUCCCAACCACUCCCCCUGGAAGCUUGUUUCCUGCACUGUUAAGAGCAUGGACCCUGAAGGCGGACUACCUGGAUUCAAACCCUACCUCCACCUCUUAUUGGGAGAAUGACCUUGUGUAAAUGACAUCACUUCUGUGUCUCAGUUAACACGCCUGUAAAAUGGAAAUAAUAUCUAUUUGUGAUGGUUAGUUUUAUGUGCCAACUUGACUGAGUCAGAGAAUACCGAGACAGCAGGUAAAACAUUAUUUCUGAGUGUCUAUGAGGGUGUAUCUGGAAGAGAUUAGCAUUUGAAUCAGUAGAAUGAGUCAAGAAGAUCUGCGUCGUCUCAUCUGGUAUCAUCCAAUCCACUGAGGGCUCACCCAAAUAGAACAAAAAGGCAGAGGAAGGGUGCAUUGUCACUCUCCUCUUGAGCCAGGACAUCCAUCUUCUCCUGCCCUUGGAUAUCAGAGCUCCUGGUUCUUGGGUCUUCAGACUCUGGGACUUAUACCCUGGCUCUCCUCAUUCUCAGGCCUUUGAACUCAGACUGCAUCACACCACUGGCUUACCUGGUGCUCCAACUUGCAGAUGGCUUGCUGUUGCCAGAUUCCAGAACCAUGUUCUUGGACUUCCC
rnacentral:lncRNA from 10 species